UAGUAGCAGUGCAGAGCUUUUUGGGUAACUGGUUCAGCAAUAAAUUGUACUUCUGCCUCUUUUUCACUAGAACCAGGAAAUAGAAUGUUACUUACAUGUGUUAGGGCUCAGCUACCUAUGCUGCCAGGAGCCCACUCUCCUAAGGGAUAGGAAGGGAUGGGCAGCAGCGAGAGAGGGCAGGGUCUGCGUGGCUGGUCCAGGCAAACUCUCUUGAGGGGGAGAGGGAAGCAGAGUGGCACUUCUUCCAGGGUGUGCUCACCUUUUCUUCCCCCUCCCCCCAAGCCAUGCUCCCAGCAAUGAUGUGGGAGGCAUAAAAUAGCAGCCUGGCCUUGCCCACACAUCUCUGAGUUCCACCCCCUCUGCAACCACAAUACCAAGGUAACUGCAACUCCUCUGAGGAGUCUAGGAAUUUCAUCUCUCUACCAGUUUUCAUGUUUCUUGGGUGACCAAGAUGCUACUGAUUAUAUUUUUCCAAACUGAAGGUUUAUAACAAGUAUUAAUAAAUGUUGUCAGUUUAUUGUGUUUGGAAACAGUUGAAUAUCUCUAAAAAUAAGUGCAAAAAUUCUGUGAUUAAAAUAAAUCACUGGAUAUUAUUUUAGUGGU